rnacentral:rRNA from 1 species
UACGAAGGGGGCUAGCGUUGUCCGGAAUUACUGGGCGUAAAGCGCGCGUAGGCGGCCAUGCAAGUCGGACGUGAAAGCCCGGGGCUUAACCCCGGAAAUGCGCCCGAGACUGCACGGCUCGAGACCAGGAGAGGGGAGCGGAAUUCCCAGUGUAGAGGUGAAAUUCGUAGAUAUUGGGAAGAACACCGGUGGCGAAGGCGGCUCCCUGGCCUGGUUCUGACGCUGAGGCGCGAAAGCGUGGGGAGCAAACAGG